UACGUAGGGUGCAAGCGUUGUCCGGAAUUAUUGGGCGUAAAGAGCUCGUAGGCGGUCUGUCGCGUCUGCUGUGAAAACUCAGGGCUUAACCCUGAGCUUGCAGUGGGUACGGGCAGACUAGAGUGCGGUAGGGGAGACUGGAAUUCCUGGUGUAGCGGUGAAAUGCGCAGAUAUCAGGAGGAACACCGGUGGCGAAGGCGGGUCUCUGGGCCGUAACUGACGCUGAGGAGCGAAAGCGUGGGGGGCGAACAGG
rnacentral:rRNA from 1 species